UCUUUGAAUAGAAUGUUGUUAUAAUGGGAGACUGGCUUUAUUUGGUGCAUGGAGUACACUUUCAUCCUCUAGCACCAUAUGAAAUCAGUUUUCCAUAGUGACAUUAUCAGCUUUAUUGGUG
rnacentral:pre_miRNA from 14 species